rnacentral:rRNA from 1 species
UACAGAGGUGGCAAGCGUUGUUCGGAAUUACUGGGCGUAAAGGGCGCGUAGGCGGUCUGGUCAGUCCCUUGUGAAAUCCCCCGGCUCAACUGGGGAACUGCACGGGAAACAGCCGGGCUUGAGUUCGGGAGAGGGAAGCGGAAUUCCGGGUGUAGCGGUGAAAUGCGUAGAUAUCCGGAGGAACACCGGUGGCGAAGGCGGCUUCCUGGACCGAUACUGACGCUGAGGCGCGAAAGCUAGGGGAGCAAACGGG